UUAGGAAUUAAAUGCUGGAGCAUCAAGUCUACGACUGCCAGACUGGGUAACAGCUUCUUCCCUCAGGCUGAGAACCUAAUAAAUAUCCUCGCACCACCAAGGUCUCAUCACGAGCAAUGAAAAUAUGUGCGAAAGUCUGAGAUGCAUAUUCCCACAUAGCUGUCCAGAACACAGCAUGCAACCGUUUGAAUUUUGUUGAGAAAUCUGUCCGCGACCAAGGCAGUUCAUACUGGAUUGGAAAAUGCAACUAUGGGAGAGUGGCCUCGAAUAUCGUGUUCCAAAUGAAGGCUGGAGUCUUCGAAUGCAUUGAAUGUGGAUGGUACCCUCACUUUGAACAUUGCAGU